rnacentral:sRNA from 1 species
UUGCUAUGUAUAGCUGGGAGGAUUUGAACCGAAAGAGGUUCGACCGAAGCGCACGAAGUGUGCUGAGGAACGCCGGAGCAUAGCGACGGCGGCCCGAAGGGUGAGGGCCGCAGGCCCGAAUAAUCCUCCCAGCCGCGCCA